UGAAAGACCAUUUCUCAUUCGACCACCAAAGUUAAGCAAUAUUGAGUCCUGUCAGUACCUAGGUGGGUGACCACCUGGGAAUAGUAGGUGCUAU